UUAAAGUUUUAUUCUUGCUUCCUUAUAAGUUUAAAUGAUGUUUUACAUACAAAGUUUUAUUUAAAUAUUUUUUUUGUAGUUAUUUGUUUUGAAUAUCAGGUAAUUCUGGAUUUGGUAAUUUUUUUUAGGAAAGGUCAAUGUCGUGCCAGCUGCCGCGGUUAUACGUUAUUUCCUUAUUUAUAUUUUUUGGUUUUAGAUAUUAUUUUUUUUGGAUAAUUUUUUUAAUUUUUUUGGUGGAAUAUAAUUUUGUAUUAUUUAUUCUUUUAUUAUUGUGAUUCUAAUUAGUCUAUUGUUUAAACUAGGAUUAGAUACCCUAUUAUUUUAGGUUAAUGAUUUUGCCAGGGUAGUAUGUUUUACUGAAACCCAAAGAAUUUGGCGGCUUUCAUUCCUUCUAGAGGAACCUACCCAUUAAAUGAUAUUACACGAUAUUUUCUACUAGUUUUAUUUGUUUGUAUAUUUCCGUUAACAGAAUAUCUUUAGAUGGUAUUUUCUUUAUUUUAAAUAAAAUUAUAUUUCAGGUCAAGGUGCAGCUUAUAAAUUAGUCUGAGGCGGGUUACAUUAAUUAUUUAUUUAUACGAAUAUUAAUUUUCAAAUUUAGUUGAAGGUGGAUUUAGUAGUAAAUUAAGGUUUUAUCCUUAAUUGAAUUGGUUCAUGGUUGUGUACAUAUCGCCCGUCGCUCUCAUUAUUAAGGUGAGAUAAGUCGUAACAAAGUAGGUGUACCGGAAGGUGUAUCUAGAUUAUC
rnacentral:ncRNA from 1 species